UACAGGGGGUGCAAACGUUGUCCGGAAUCACUGGGCGUAAAGCGCGUGUAGGCGGUCCGGUAAGUCCGCUGUGAAAGUCGGGGGCUCAACCCUCGAAUGCCGGUGGAAACUGUCGGGCUAGAGUACGGAAGAGGCGAGUGGAAUUCCUGGUGUAGCGGUGAAAUGCGCAGAUAUCAGGAGGAACACCGAUUGCGAAGGCAGCACGCUGGAACGUUACUGACGCUGAGACGCGAAAGCGUGGGGAGCAAACAGG
rnacentral:rRNA from 1 species